CUCCUACGGGAGGCAGCAGUAAGGAAUAUUGGUCAAUGGACGCAAGUCUGAACCAGCCAUGCCGCGUGGAGGAUGAAGGCCCUCUGGGUUGUAAACUUCCUUUAUCUGGGAAGAAACCCAUCUUUUCUAAGGUGGUUGACGGUACCAGUUGAAUAAGCACCGGCUAACUCCGUGCCAGCCGCCGCGGUAAUAC
rnacentral:rRNA from 1 species